CUCACGACGACAUCAUUUCAUUCACCUGACGUCACUUUCAGCGUUUAACUGUAAACUGUAUACUUAUAAAGACCGGAAAAAAUAUAUAUAUUGAUUUAUUGAUUAUCGUGACAAGCUAAUACGGGUGAAAUAUGAGCUCUUCUUCUGGUUCCUGUACCAUCACCAUGCAUACAAAAUCUAAUGGUGAGUCUUUGUGCCAAAGAUUGUUGUGAUCGUCUCCGGAAAGUGCAACUGAGGUGAAAAUUCGGCUUGACUGCCUCCGCGUCCUCCUGCAGGGCCUGCUGACGCUCCCUCUCUUUGACCAACUGGACGCCGCAGUACGUCACCAGUAAGACAGAAAGGCUCGACAUAGGAAAGCCUGUGUGUGGGAAGGGAAACGGUAAUACUGUGAAACAGGUGGGGGGAAAAAUAUGGUGGGUGUUUUUCUCUCCUACCUUUGAAAAGCAGUCUUCUACCAACCAGUUUGGCAAACUCUAAACUGUUCAGGGAGAGAACAUUGUAGAGGACGAUAGCCCAGAAGUUGGCGGCGUUGAAAAGACCUCGGAUCCUACGCGACAUGGCUUCACCCAUGACACCCUACAUGUAGAAAAAUUUGAGUGACAGCUAUUCCGAUUGAAAGCGCUGUGGAGGAAUUUUGCAGAAUUGUUGUCAUUCAGCCAUAUUGGAGGUUUUUCCAGCAUGAAGCGCCUUUUUAACACUGACCUUAACUGAGGGUAAGUGAGGCCUGCAGGUGUUUUUGUGGGGUCUUUUGUGACCUCUUGGAGUUGGGGUCAAUUUCCUCUUGGGGUAAAUUUGCCGGCCACUCCUGUUCCAUGUUUUGGAAGUGUGGAUAAUAGCUCUCACUGUGGGUUAGCAGGUAGGCUAACCUGUGAUUGGCUGGUAAUCAUGUCCAGGCUGUACCCUGCCCCUUCCCCAAAGAAAGCUGAAAUAGGCUCCAGCAUACCCGCGACCUCAGGGUGGGAUAAGUGGCAUAGAAAACGGAUGGAUGGGAUGGGCUCUCACUGUGGUCGGCUGCAGUCCCAAAACUUAAGAAAUGGGUUUAUAACCUUUUUCAGUUCAAUUAGGCUGUGUCGCCAUUGACUAAUAUUUCCAUUUGUUUGAUGAUCUGAAACAUUUAAGUCUGAAAACAUUCAUUCAUUCAUUUUCUACUGCUUAUCCACUGGAGCCUAUCCCAGCUGUCUUCAGGCAAGAGGCGGAGUACACCCUGGACUGGUGGCCAGCCAAUCACAGGGGACAUAUAGACAAACAACCAUUCACACUCACAUUCAUAUCUAUGGACAAUUUGGAGUCGCUAAUUAGCCUAGCAUGUUUUUGGAAUGUAGGAGGAGAACAUGCAAACUCCACACAGAUAUGGCCGAUAGUGGAUUUGAACCCUGGUCUGCGCGCUAACCACUUGUCCGCCGUGCAGCCCGUCUGAGAAACAUGAAAAAAAUAAAUAAAUCAGGAUGAGGCAAACAGGUUUUUAACACCAUGUUCAAACGCUCUGGAUGUAGCGGUUGGCGUACAUUUUCCGUUUAGCGUACAAUAUGCCGCAUGUCACACAGGUAGGCGGCGUUGGUGUUGAUCUCGCUUUGGAUUAACUGCAGAUUGCAGUUAAUUUUCCUGAUGCAUGUGAUUUAACGGCUGUGUGAUAAAGACCACUCGCAAUCGACUUGACUGUGAGAUGAAAUCCCACACAGUUCUUCUAUCACAGGGAGAAAAAAAAAACAUGACAUUUAUUAUGCAAUUGUUUUGAUUAAUCACUUCACAAGCACUUCAAUCAAUGUGACAAAAUUAGACAUUACAUAAUAGACUCAUGGUGAUGCGCUCGCCUCGCCGCUCAAAUGUUAUCCUCUGUGUAGGAGCCUGUUUUAAGUAACAACAGCUACAGUAAGAGUACAAAUUGCACUGAAUACAAGGAGGUGUCAUACGCAUAUACAUGCUCUGGGGCGCUGUUCUGUUCUUAGACUGAUGUACGUAAGUCGAGUUUUUAGGGAAAAGUCAGACUAUGUCAUUUAAUCUUUAAUCAGUGGUGUCCAAAGUCUGCCCCUUUUUAAAAUACAUAUAAUUUUUAAAAAGUAUAUUUUAAAAAGAGAGAAAAUUUGAAAGAAUAAAAUCAUAAUUAUGAGAAGAAAAUUUACCCAAAAUUCUAUAUGUAAAAAAAAGCAAAACUGUACAAAUGUUUAUGAUAAGAAAGUGAUAAUAUGAAGAGAACUGCUAUAGAAGUGAUGAUGCAACUCCCCACCAAUGGAGUAAACUUGAGAGCAAUUUGAAUGGCAUGAAAACGGCCACUAGGUGGCAGAAGUGUGUCAUGAGAAGAAGAGAAACAGGCAGCAGGAAGUGGAAGCCCUUAUAAAAUGCAGCUGUUACAUUGCCCAAAGUUCAGUUCCAAAUGUAAAAAUUGUAAAAAGUUUGUAAAUAAAUAAUAAUAAAAAAUAUAAAUAAUAAUAAAAAAAUAUAUAAAAAAUAAUAAAAAAUAUAAAUAAUAAUAAAAAGUAUAAAUAAUAAUAAAAAGUAUAAAUAAUCAUACUUUAUUGUGUUGUUUAUGUGA